AAUUUACUCUACAAGAUGCCAAGAUGAAGAAGGCACUCUCACCACUGCUAGCAGAACACUGAUGGCUCCAAUGUUUAAUGAUUGAGAGUUUAAUGACUGAAUUCCAGAUCUGCUGUCCUUAGCUGAGGAGUUAUGGAAAUGCUUCAGGUUCUGUAUCUACAACACAAAGAUAACGUUCACUCUACAGAAUGUGACAAAGACUUUUACUGCUCAUUAAAUGUCCAUGUUCUUCACAUUUCCCAGUUCCUUUGUAGAUCUUGCCAGACAUAUGAGUAAUUCCAGCCCAAGAACUGGGAGUAAAACUGAGGUUGUGUCAGUUUAUUCCAAAGAAUUAGAGACCUGCUGUUCAAGUUUUAGCUGUUCCCUCUUGAAGUAAUACCAAAACUGAGGAAGACAUCCUUCUGGAAAUUUAACUGACCCACAUUGGAUUAGAAUAAAAUUCGUGGGCCAGAAAAUAAACUUGUGCUGUUAACUGUGUUGCAAUUCCUGGGUACAUUUGCCAUGGAGCCAGGGUUGACCAAUGUAUGGAAUAAUUGUGAGAAUCACAGAAGAUGUUGCAUGUAAAAUUCUUCGUAUAAUGCUUUGCGCAGAGUAAGAAAUCAUUAAGUUAAAGCUAUCGUUUAC
rnacentral:lncRNA from 1 species